rnacentral:rRNA from 1 species
CACGUAGGGCGCGAGCGUUGUCCGGAAUUAUUGGGCGUAAAGAGCUCGUAGGCGGCCUGUUGCGUCCGCUGUGAAAGCCCGGGGCUUAACCCCGGGUCUGCAGUGGAUACGGGCAGGCUAGAGGUAGGUAGGGGAGAAUGGAAUUCCCGGUGUAGCGGUGAAAUGCGCAAAUAUCGGGAGGAACACCGGUGGCGAAGGCGGUUCUCUGGGCCUUACCUGACGCUGAGGAGCGAAAGCGUGGGGAGCAAACAGG